AUGCCAUGAAAUACUUGGGAUAUUCACCUCUGUGGUCAACAGAUCAAGUCGGCAGGAUUCCCCUCACCAGCCCCAGCUACAUCCAGGCUGACCAGCUGGCCAGCCAAUUCAAAUGCUAACUUGGGCUUAGCAGGACCGGCGAGGAAGGCGCACUUUCCGCACCGACGCCGCGUUACCGGGCUGCAGCCGGUUUUGUGUUCGGGCGCGGGCAGUUUCACCGCCGCAUCACCGACUCCAAACGCGGCUCCGCCCGGGCUGAAAAUGGCCGGUGAGCGCCGCCUCCCCGCCCCGAGGCUGCCCAGGCGGCCGGCCCCAGGGUCCUCUCCGCCGCUCGCCCCAAGACUUGCGUUGGCUCCAACACCUUUCCCCAGCGCCGCGGGUGCCGCACUUUUUGAGGACCCUGUGUAGGGUGUCCUGACCACCUACAUGCCCCCUCUGCAGCCCACUUCUCGUUCUGCUUUACCUUUGCGUGCGCGAACACCUCGCGGGUGUCUCAGCCCUCUCUCUCACCAGCAGGGCGUUGCGCAAACAGCCCGGGACCUCUCCAGCCCAGCUGCGCCCAGCUCUGCCGCCGGGACGGCUGCGCCGGAAGGUUGGAGAAACCCCGACACAACGUGACCAAGCCCGCGGCACCAACCCCGGCAGCCCUGAAGGCACCCCGGAGACUCCCACACCUCCUCUGCUUGCCCUCCAGGUACCAGUAAUCUUAGGGAGCCGCCUGGGGCUCUGAGAGGUCGGUUCUAGGGUGCGCGCGGGCAGGUGCGCACGCUCUUUGCGGCAGUCUCGGCCGGCCAGCGCUGGGGGACUGGUGGCGGCCGGGACUGGCGCACAGCCGCGUGGGGCACCGGUACCCGGGAUCCCGAGGCUCCCGAUUGGAAGCGCCGGGACUUGGGCUCCAGGCUCUGAGUGUCUUAAGCACCUCGCGCGACUUGCCCCGGAGCCAGCUGUCUCCGGAGUUCUCGCCCAACGCCGGUCUGAUUACUUUUCGCACAUUGGAACAGUGUGGCUACAGCGCGGCUGCUGCGGCUCCGUGAAAGUUGGCGCGCGCACUUCCAAACCACAUUUCAGGCACCUGCUAAAGCCAACUUGUUUGAGAGCAGCCUCCUCCAGGAGGG